GAUGAACGCUGGCGGCGUGCCUAAUACAUGCAAGUCGAGCGAACGGACGAGAAGCUUGCUUCUCUGAUGUUAGCGGCGGACGGGUGAGUAACACGUGGAUAACCUACCUAUAAUACUGGGAUAACUUCGGGAAACCGUAGCUAAUACCGUAUAAUAUUUUGAACCGCAUUGUUCAAAAGUGAAAUACGGUCUUGCUGUCUCUUAUAGAUGGAUCCGCGCUGCAUUAGCUAGUUGGUAAGGUAACGGCUUACCAAGGCAACGAUGCAUAGCCGACCUGAGAGGCUGAUCGGCCACACUGGAACUGAGACACGGUCCAGACUCCUACGGGAGGCAGCAGUAGGGAAUCUUCCGCAAUGGGCGAAAGCCUGACGGAGCAACGCCGAGUGAGUGAUGAAGGUCUUCGGAUCGUAAAACUCUGUUAUUAGUGAAGAACAUAUGUGUAAGUAACUGUGCACAUCUUGACGGUACCUAAUAAGAAAGCAACGGCUAACUACGUG
rnacentral:rRNA from 1 species